AAGCAGUGGAAUCAACUAGAGAGGGAGUUAAAGGCAUAUGGGGAAGGGGAGGAGAAGAUAUGAGAGGCUAAGAAGAGAAAGUUCAGAAGUUGAUGAAGAACAGAAUCAUAUCAAGAAUUCAGCCAUAACAUUGGGAGGAGAGAAAGGAAGAAGAAGAAGCAAUCAAGGUGUGGAGCUAUGGAAGAAAAUGGAAGGCAGCAGCCCUAAAUUAGGGCAUCCCUUCAAGACCUUCAUAGCUACUUAUGAAGCAAUCAUGCUUUACUUUGCACACAAGCUUGUGAUGCCUCAACAAUGGUGAUCUUCUACACUUUUGUGUUCAAUUUCAACGCCUUUAAUACGCUUCAUUCAUAUAUCUCCCUCUUCUUGGUUUUCUGGUCGUGGAUAUGUUGAUAAAAUAUAAUGGAAUAGAAUAUCUUUACUGUUUAACAUUA